rnacentral:rRNA from 1 species
UACAGAGGGGCGAGCGUUAUUCGGAAUUAUUGGGUCGUAAAGGGCGCGUAGGCGGCUAAGUAAGUCUCGGGAUGAAAUCCCGUCGGCUCAACCCGAGGAACUGCCUUGGAAACUGCUUGGCUUGAGGCCGGGAGAGGAUGGUGGAAUUCCCAGUGAUAGCGGUGAAAUGCGUAGAUAUUGGGAGGAACACCGGUGGCGAAGGCGGCCACUCUGGACCGGUCCGUGGACGCGUGAGGCGGACGAAAA